UACGAAGGAUUCGAGCGUUAUCCGGAUUUAUUGGGCGUAAAGGGUGCGUAGGCGGACUAAUAAGUCAGUGGUGAAAGCCCGCAGCUUAACUGCGGAACUGCCAUUGAUACUGUUAGUCUUGAGUACAGUUGAGGUGGGCGGAAUUUGUCAUGUAGCGGUGAAAUGCUUAGAUAUGACGCAGAACACCGAUUGCGAAGGCAGCUCACUAAGCUGUAACUGACACUGAGGCACGAAAGCGUGGGGAUCAAACAGG
rnacentral:rRNA from 1 species